rnacentral:rRNA from 1 species
AUUGAACGCUGGCGGCAGGCCUAACACAUGCAAGUCGAGCGAAGCGGCGGAUGGGUGAGUAACGCGUGGGUAACCUGCCCUUAAGUCUGGGAUACCAUUUGGAAACAGAUGCUAAUACCGGAUACUAAAGGAUGGACCUGCGAUGCAUUAGCUCUUUGGUAAGGUAACGGCUUACCAAGGCGAUGAUGCAUAGCCGAGUUGUGAGACUAAUCGGCCACAUUGGGACUGAGACACGGCCCAAACUCCUACGUGAGGCAGCAGUAGGGAAUCUUCCACAAUGUACGAAAGUCUGAUGGAGCAACGCCGCGUGAGUGAAGAAGGUUUUCGUAUCGGAAAGCUCUGUUGUUGUUAAAGCGGUAAUCAACCAGAAAGUCACGGCUAACUACGUGCCAGCAGCCGCGGUAAUUC